GGAGGGGCCGCGGAGCCCAGCGUCGCUGUCUCUACCGCCCGGGAUCCGAGCGCAAAGAGACCGAUCCCGCCUACCCGGAUCCCACCUACCUGUAGGGCUCCCCCCUUUCUGUGCUGAGCAAAUAGGAGGCCCCAAAGUUAACUGGCAUUGCACACAACAACCUCCUGCACAGACAUUACACUUGUGCAGCUAGGAGGACCCAGAUACCCACCCCCCAUGCCUAAAACAGACCUUAGAGAUUCAAGACUAGCCCUGCUGUCGAGGGCAGAGUGACCCUAUUGAUAACCUACAACCCCUCUAUGUCUCCACAACUCCCUCUCACCAUGGAGUUUGCAUUUAAUGUAGAAAAGCAUGUGAACCAUCCCUCCCUCUGACUUCUUAGGUGGGAUUCCAUGGCCACACAACCCUGUGACUCCAUGCCCCCCCAAUUCCAGGACCCCCCCUGGCCCCAUGACUCCUUGGCCCCCAUGGCCUUAUGACCCCUGACCUUCCAAGUGACCUCCCUGGACUUUGACCCCUGUGACUGUUCUUCCCAUCUCCCCCCCAAACCCUGUGAUUCUGGCCCUGGCUCCCA